UACGUAGGGGGCAAGCGUUGUCCGGAUUUACUGGGCGUAAAGAGCGUGUAGGCGGCCACGCAGGUCCGUUGUGAAAACUGGAGGCUCAACCUCCAGCUGUCGACGGAAACCGUAUGGCUAGAGUCCGGAAGAGGAGAGUGGAAUUCCUGGUGUAGCGGUGAAAUGCGCAGAUAUCAGGAGGAACACCAAUUGCGAAGGCAGCUCGCUGGGACGUGACUGACGCUGAGACGCGAAAGCGUGGGGAGCAAACAGG
rnacentral:rRNA from 1 species